GACUCUCGGCAACGGAUAUCUCGGUCUCGCAUCCGAUGAAGAACGUAGCAAAAUGCGAUACUUGGUGUGAAUUGCAGAAUCCCGUGAACCAUCGACUCUUUGAACGCAAGUUGCGCCCGAAGCCAUCCGGCCGAGGGCACGCCUGCCUGGGCGUCACGCAUCA
rnacentral:rRNA from 1 species